CUGGCUCAGAACGAACGCUGGCGGCAUGCCUAACACAUGCAAGUCGAACGAAGCCUUCGGGCUUAGUGGCGCACGGGUGCGUAACACGUGGGAAUCUGCCCUUCGGUUCGGAAUAACAGUUAGAAAUGACUGCUAAUACCGGAUGAUGACGUAAGUCCAAAGAUUUAUCGCCGAAGGAUGAGCCCGCGUAGGAUUAGGUAGUUGGUAGGGUAAUGGCCUACCAAGCCGACGAUCCUUAGCUGGUCUGAGAGGAUGAUCAGCCACACUGGGACUGAGACACGGCCCAGACUCCUACGGGAGGCAGCAGUGGGGAAUAUUGGACAAUGGGCGAAAGCCUGAUCCAGCAAUGCCGCGUGAGUGAUGAAGGCCUUAGGGUUGUAAAGCUCUUUUACCAGGGAUGAUAAUGACAGUACCUGGAGAAUAAGCUCCGGCUAACUCCGUG
rnacentral:rRNA from 1 species